GAUGAAGAACGUAGCGAAAUGCGAUGAGUAGUGUGAAUUGCAGAAUUCAGUGAAUCAUCGAAUCUUUGAACGCACAUUGCGCCCUUUGGUAUUCCAAAGGGCAUGCCUGUUCGAGCGUCAUUUGUACCCUCAAGCUUUGCUUGGUGUUGGGCGUCUUGUCUCUAGCUUUGCUGGAGACUCGCCUUAAAGUAAUUGGCAGCCGGCCUACUGGUUUCGGAGCGCAGCACAAGUCGCACUCUCUAUCAGCAAAGGUCUAGCAUCCAUUAAGCCUUUUUUUCAACUUUUGACCUCGGAUCAGGUAGGGAUACCCGCUGAACUUAAGCAUAUCAAUAAGCGGAGGA
rnacentral:misc_RNA from 1 species